UUUUAGUUGCUCCUCUUCAUUUUUUUUCCAUUAUGAAGAAUAAUGAAGUCUAAAAAUCUAAAAAUUGCAAGCAACCAAAGAACGAAAGGUUGAAAGGUUAGACGUGAUGUUUUGGAUGCUCAGUGGGUCCACAAAAUGGCAUUAUCCCCUCGUGCUCUCUGAACACGGCAUCUGCCUGAGAGCUGACCUGCCAAAGGCCACCGUCACAGCUACCACGAAAAGCUAGCUUAGGAAGAUAGCCAACGUGGAAUUUAUGAAAUGUCUCUUUGCCCACCACGUUCUCCCUAGAGAAGAUUAGAGUACAGUCUGAAGACCAGAAUCACCUCUACUGGGGCCUUUCCAGUCUUCUUGCCCUGCACAGGCAGCCAGAGUGGACCAGGAAUGGGGACCGCAGGAGUAAGAACUUCAAAUAAGCAAAUGGAAGAACUCUGAACCUAUCAGGUUGCUAAAACAGUGAAAGGCGCCACCAACAGAGAUGUGUGACAUCUCCAUCCUGGGAGAUCAUCGGAGGCGGUCACUGGUCCUGAGUGGUUUGGACACUCAGCUGCCAGAAGGCAGGGGUCUGGAUGGAAUCACUCCUCUCGGAUUUGAGAAUCGGAUCCUAACUCCCUGAUUUAGAGGGAGAGGGAAACAGGUGGGAUCUUUGCACUGUUAGAGCAAAUACCAAUUAAAACUAACAGGCCCAA